AGCGAACGCUGGCGGCAUGCUUAACACAUGCAAGUCGAACGGGCAGAGCAAUAUGUCAGUGGCAGACGGGUGAGUAACGCGUGGGAACGUACCUUUUGGUUCGGAACAUCACAGGGAAACUUGUGCUAAUACCGGAUAAGCCCUUACGGGGAAAGAUUUAUCGCCGAAAGAUCGGCCCGCGUCUGAUUAGCUAGUUGGUAGGGUAAUGGCCUACCAAGGCGACGAUCAGUAGCUGGUCUGAGAGGAUGAUCAGCCACAUUGGGACUGAGACACGGCCCAAACUCCUACGGGAGGGAGCAGUGGGGAAUAUUGGACAAUGGGCGAAAGCCUGAUACAGCCAUGCCGCGUGAGUGAUGAAGGCACUAGGGUUGUAAAGCUCUUUUGUGCGGGAAGAUAAUGACGGUACCGAAAGAAUAAGCCCCGGCUAACUUCGUG
rnacentral:rRNA from 1 species